rnacentral:rRNA from 1 species
UACGAGGGGGGCAAGCGUUGUUCGGAUUUAUUGGGCGUAAAGGGUGCGUAGGCGGUUUGGCAAGUCUUAUGUGAAAUCUUCGGGCUCAACCCGAAGUCUGCAUAAGAAACUGCCGGGCUUGAGUAUGGGAGAGGUGAGUGGAAUUUCCGGUGUAGCGGUGAAAUGCGUAGAUAUCGGAAGGAACACCUGUGGCGAAAGCGGCUCACUGGACCAUAACUGACGCUGAUGCACGAAAGCUAGGGGAGCAAACAGG